AAUAAAAAUAAAAAUACCCAUUUAAUGGAAAUUCAGCCAGGCUUCCUGUUCUGCCCCCAAAGCUGGAAAUCUCACGGGCGCUUGAGCAAAAACUGGAUUUUUAAAAAAUCUGCAAUUUGCACAAUGGUGUGUAUGAGAGAUCCAUCUGUCCGUGUCUGUCUGUCUGCAUGUAUAGAUAAGAUAGAUAGAUAUAGAGGAUGGAUGGAUGGAUGGAUGGAAGAUAGGUAGGUAGGUAGAUAUAGAGAGAUGAGAGAUAAAGAGAUAUAGAGAUAGAUAUGAGAUGAUGGAUGGAUGAUAGGUAGGUAGAUAUAGAUGAUAUAGAUAGAUAGAUAGAUAGAUAGAUAGAUAGAUAGAUAGAUAGAUAGAUAGAUAGAUAGAUAGAUGAUAGAUAGAUACGAGAUGAUGGAUGGAUGGAUGAUAGGUAGGUAGAGAUAGAUAGAUGAUAGAUAGGAGAUGAUGGAUGGAUGGAUGAUAGGUAGGUAGAGAUAGAUAGAAGAUAGAUAGAUAGAUAGAUAGAUAGAUAGAUAGAUAGAUAGAUAGAUAGAUAGGAGAUGAUGGAUGGAUGGUAGGUAGGGAUAGAUAGAUAGAUAGAUAGAUAGAUAGAUAGGAUAGAUAGAUAGAUAGAUAGGAGAUGAUGGAUGGAUGGUAGGUAGGUAGGUAGGGAUAGAUAGAUAGAUAGAUAGAUAAGAUUUUCGCUGAAUAAACGUAAACCAUCAUGUCAACUGCCAUCCCUUUGUGGGCUGUUACAUACAUAGAAGAAAGCGAACCAAAUGAAGGCUGGGGCCGUUUCAUCGAAUAAAUCAAUUUAUUUAAAAGAAUAUGUUACAAUUAGUUGUACUAAUUGAUUCUUACCAAACAAUUUUUUUUUGUUUUAGAGUAGUUAGCUCUAAAGAUGAAGAAUGCCCUAACCCGCCUCCCCGUCCCCCGCCCCCAUUUCUCCGAGCCCUUUCUUCCUUCUUCGCCAGGAUAUUCCUUCUUCACACCCCAAAAUCGCAAACAAACAAACAAAGAAAAAAAUAACGAGGAAUAUGCAGUGAAAAAUUACAAUUAGAAGUCUGUCAAAUAAAUUAAAACAGUGAGAGAGACGCACACGGAGAGCACCAGGGAUCCCAGGGCUUAAAUGUAUAUAUAUAUAAAUAUAUAUAUAUAUUUAUAUAUAUAUUUUGAACCUGAACCAAGGAGAUUUUUAAAAGAAAAAAAAAGAAAAGAAAAAAGAGGAAAUUUGAGGGACAUGGAAACAUUUUUUUCCCCCCCUUCCAGCCUUUCUUUGGAUAGCAGACUGGGAUGUUAAAACAAAUCACAAAUCCUGUAACGGAAAGAAAUAAUCGGAAGUUCGGAACCUUUUAAAAAAACAGCGAUGGGGAAAAAACACACCGGUGGGUUUUUCUUCGCAACGAAAUGCUGGAUUUUUAAAAAAGGUUGCAUUCUUAGAGGAAUAAACAUACACUUACACAUAGAUUUGAUUCGCUCAGAAACGGGGUCAUUUUUGCAACUCAAAACUCUGGGAAGCCAAGCCACGAAAACACGUUUUUUGAUGGAAGAAACAAACUCUUCGGAAGUUUUGUUACCCAGCUGAGAGCUGUUGGUCCUUCUCCCCCACCUCAUCCUCCAUCUGCGAGUCCCUUCGGACCCCUCCCAUCCCUCGGAAACCUGCGAUGGUUUGCACACCCAGGGUCAACCUAGCAGGGCUGUUGUGUGCCAGACCAGCAUUCCUGAAUCGACCCACUAAGGCAUCGUCCCCAAAUCCUUGUUAAGAAUGAGAGGUAGGUAUUUUUCCACUUUGGCACUCUCCAAGAUAUAUUACUUCCAAUGGAUACCUUCCGUCUACUAAGGCGGCCAAAUUUGCACUCUGCGCAGCCCAGUUGGCACGUAGAAAUGAGGAUGCCUGUACUCUCGGGUUUUUUCUCGGUGUUGUUGGCUUCGGGCUAAAGCAGUGACGGCGAACCUUUUGGGCACCAGUGCAACUGGUUGGUGCACACACAUUUUUGGCUGUUUUUUGGGGCCGUUUUCAGGGCCAGAAACGGCCUGAAAAUGGCCAAAAAACCCAGCCCAAAAAUACCCUGGAAAACAGUCUGGAAAAUGGCCUGUUUUGGGCCAUUUUUCAGGCUGUUUUCCGGCGCUCCGGCACCCGCGAAGACCAGCAUGCCUGCCGGAAACCAGAAGAGCAGCUGCCGAUGGCCACGUGCCCACAAAGAGGACCCUGCAUGCCACCUCCGGCACCCGUGCCAUAAGUUCGCCAUCCCGGGGCUAAAGCAAGGGGCUAGUCCUUAAGGAGAUGUGCCCUUCUAAGCACAUCCUAAGCUCUGAUAAAAUGUCCAGAAGGAUCUUUUGUUGGACAUGGAACAAUUGCACGCUUUUUAGUGCAAUCAGCAUCAUCUCUGUCCUUCGAGGGCACACGGUUACCAUUACUCCCUUGCUCCUCUGAGGUCCGGCGGACGCCCUUUUUACUGUCCCAGGCAGGUGCCACCACUAAAUAGUCCCCCGAUGCUGAAAAACACACACAUUUCUCUAAUUAUGUGACUAGACCCACUCGUUUCCCCCUUCCUGCAACCUGGUCUGUCUGCGGGACUGUUUUUGUGGUUAGCAACCAGGCCUCAGCUCCCGAGCAACGAAUUAGCAAAAGGGCUUUAAAAGCAGAGGGGGGGAUUUAAUUUUGCAGGCAGAGAGCCAAACUCAAGUCCCCAUCCAACACCUUAGAAGCCAAUUGCAAUUUCUACUUUCGGACUCCCGGAAAAGGAGAAAAACUACUAAAUUCUCUCCUCUUUCUUCAGCCCAAGAGAAAAUCUGAAAUGCCAAAGCUACGAAACCAAGGAAGCUUUUCAAAGCCACGCGGGGAAGGGGAAAACGACAAGCACGGAAGCUGAAUUUUUGCGAAGGAUUUAAGAGAGAUUUUUUCUCCUCUCCACUGCUGCGUUUUUGUUUUUUUUGUAAAAUCCAAAGGUUGGUCGAGAAAACUCCCACUUUUUUCCAAGUUUAAACUUCAACGUUUCUUAAGCUGCAAAAUCCAAAUUCCUUGCAAGAAAAGAUUGCAAAAUCUGGGUGGGUUUUUUGUUUUUAAAAACAGGGUUUCAGGCCUCGCCGAAGCUCUGAUGGGGGACACAAGAAGGGAAGCUCUGAUUUAGAAGUCCCUCUAACGUAACAGCCUCAAUAUGGAAAAAAAAAUUAUAUAUAUAUAUAUGUAUAUAUAAGGGCGUGAUAAGUUUGUCUCUCUAUAUAUAUAUUUGCUUUUGUUUUGUUUUUUUACAUACAUACAUAUAUAUUUCAGACAGUGCAAACGGAUGUAGGGGUCUCCAUCCAGUUGUUAAAAGAAAAACG